AAUGAACGCUGGCGGCGUGCUUAACACAUGCAAGUCGCACGAGAACGCUUCAGCUUGCUGAAGCUAGUAAAGUGGCGUACGGGUGAGUAACGCGUGGGUAAUCUAUCUCUGAAUUGGGGAUAACAUUGCGAAAGCGAUGCUAAUACCGGAUAAUAUCCAUUAAACCUCGGUUUUUUGGAUCAAAGGUGGCCUCUACAUGUAAGCUACUGUUUGGAGACGAGCCCGCGUACCAUUAGCUUGUUGGUAGGGUAACGGCUUACCAAGGCAACGAUGGUUAGCUGGUCUGAGAGGAUGAUCAGCCACACUGGAACUGACACACGGUCCAGACUCCUACGGGAGGCAGCAGUGAGGAAUUUUGCGCAAUGGGGGAAACCCUGACGCAGCAACGCCGCGUGAGUGAUGAAGGCUUUCGGGUCGUAAAGCUCUGU
rnacentral:rRNA from 1 species